rnacentral:ncRNA from 2 species
AGCGUCUUUCAUUGCACUGGUUCCCCCGAUGGGUCUGAGACCUUGGGGGAUGAAAUGGGAAUCUGGUGGCGAGCGACCCUGACGGGGCUCGGAAACCGGAGCUGCCCCCGCAACUGUGAGCGGUGAGCGACCUCGUACGAAGCCACUGGGAAACCGGGAAGGCGUCGAGGGAGCUGUGACCCGCAAGCCAGGAGACCAGCCAGGGCAUGGAACUCGAA